rnacentral:rRNA from 1 species
AAAUGAAUUGACGGGGGCCCGCACAAGCGGUGGAGCAUGUGGUUUAAUUCGAAGCUACGCGAAGAACCUUACCAGGGCUUGACAUGGGGGUGCCGCUGCGAGAGAUCGCAGUUUACCGGCAACGGUACGCCCCACACAGGUGCUGCAUGGCUGUCGUCAGCUCGUGUCGUGAGAUGUUGGGUUAAGUCCCGCAACGAGCGCAACCCUUGUCCUUAGUUGUCAUCAGGUAAUGCUGGACCCUCUAGGGAGACUGCCGCGGACAACGCGGAGGAAGGCGGGGACGACGUCAAGUCAUCAUGGCCCUUACGUCCUGGGCUACACACGUGCUACAAUGGUCGAUACAAUGGGUUGCCAAGCCGCGAGGUGGAGCCAAUCCCCAAAUUCGGCCUCAGUUCGGAUCGCAGUCUGCAACUCGACUGCGUGAAGCCGGAAUCGCUAGUAAUCGUGGAUCAGAAUGCCACGGUGAAUACGUUCCCGGGCCUUGUACACACCGCCCGU